UUACGGCCACAUCAUAUUGAAACACAGGUUUCUAUACGAUCACCGAAGUUGAGGCUGGUCAGUACCGAGAUGGGUGACCGCUUGGGAAUACCAGGUGCUGUAAG